GUAGGUGGCAAGCGUUGUCCGGAAUUAUUGGGCGUAAAGCGCGCGCAGGCGGUCCUUUAAGUCUGAUGUGAAAGCCCACGGCUCAACCGUGGAGGGUAAUUGGAAACUGGGGGACUUGAGUACAGAAGAGGAAAGCGGAAUUCCACGUGUAGCGGUGAAAUGCGUAGAGAUGUGGAGGAACACCAGUGGCGAAGGCGGCUUUCUGGUCUGUAACUGACGCUGAGGCGCGAAAGCGUGGGGAGCAAACAGGGAUUAGAUACCCUGGUAGUCCACGCCGUAAACGAUGAGUGCUAAGUGUUAGGGGGUUUCCCGCCCCUUAGUGCUGCAGCUAACGCAUUAAGCACUCCGCCUGGGGAUACGGCCGCAAGGCUG
rnacentral:rRNA from 1 species